rnacentral:rRNA from 1 species
AACGAACGCUGGCGGCAUGCCUAACACAUGCAAGUCGAACGAGACCUUCGGGUCUAGUGGCGCACGGGUGCGUAACGCGUGGGAACCUGCCCUUAGGUUCGGAAUAACUCCCCGAAAGGGGUGCUAAUACCGGAUAAUGUCUUCGGACCAAAGAUUUAUCGCCUUUGGAUGGGCCCGCGUUGGAUUAGCUAGUUGGUAGGGUAAAAGCCUACCAAGGCGACGAUCCAUAGCUGGUCUGAGAGGAUGAUCAGCCACACUGGGACUGAGACACGGCCCAAACUCCUAGGGAGGGAGGAGUGGGGGAUAAUGGGACAUGGGGCGAAGGCCUGAUCCGGCAAGGCCGGGUGGGGGAGGAGGGCCUAGGGUUGUAAAGCUCUUUUACCCGGGAUGAUAAUGACAGUACCGGGAGAAUAAGCUCCGGCUAACUCCGUG